AUUGAACGCUGGCGGCAGGCCUAACACAUGCAAGUCGAACGAGUGGCGAACGGGUGAGUAACGCGUGGUAACCUGCCUCAUAGCGGGGGAUAACUAUUGGAAACGAUAGCUAAUACCGCAUACCAUCGGAUGUGCCCAGAUGGGAUUAGCUAGUAGGUGGGGUAACGGCGCACCUAGGCGACGAUCCCUAGCUGGUCUGAGAGGAUGACCAGCCACACGGGAACUGAGACACGGUCCAGACUCCUACGGGAGGCAGCAGUGGGGAAUAUUGCACAAUGGGCGCAAGCCUGAUGCAGCCAUGCCGCGUGUAUGAAGAAGGCCUUCGGGUUGUAAAGUACUUUCAGCGAGGAGGCGUUACUCGCAGAAGAAGCACCGGCUAACUCCGUGCCAGCCGCCGCGGUAAUAC
rnacentral:rRNA from 1 species